AAGUCGAACGAGUUCUGAUUAUUGAAAGGUGCUUGCAUCUUGAUUUAAUUUUGAACGAGUGGCGGACGGGUGAGUAACACGUGGGUAACCUGCCCUUAAGUGGGGGAUAACAUUUGGAAACAGAUGCUAAUACCGCAUAAAUCCAAGAACCGCAUGGUUCUUGGCUGAAAGAUGGCGUAAGCUAUCGCUUUUGGAUGGACCCGCGGCGUAUUAGCUAGUUGGUGAGGUAACGGCUCACCAAGGCAAUGAUACGUAGCCGAACUGAGAGGUUGAUCGGCCACAUUGGGACUGAGACACGGCCCAAACUCCUACGGGAGGCAGCAGUAGGGAAUCUUCCACAAUGGACGCAAGUCUGAUGGAGCAACGCCGCGUGAGUGAAGAAGGCUUUCGGGUCGUAAAACUCUGUUGUUGGAGAAGAAUGGUCGGCAGAGUAACUGUUGUCGGCGUGACGGUAUCCAACCAGAAAGCCACGGCUAACUACGUGCCAGCAGCCGCGGUAAUACGUAGGUGGCAAGCGUUAUCCGGAUUUAUUGGGCGUAAAGCGAGCGCAGGCGGUUUUUUAAGUCUGAUGUGAAAGCCCUCGGCUUAACCGAGGAAGUGCAUCGGAAACUGGGAAACUUGAGUGCAGAAGAGGACAGUGGAACUCCAUGUGUAGCGGUGAAAUGCGUAGAUAUAUGGAAGAACACCAGUGGCGAAGGCGGCUGUCUGGUCUGUAACUGACGCUGAGGCUCGAAAGCAUGGGUAGCGAACAGGAUUAGAUACCCUGGUAGUCCAUGCCGUAAACGAUGAAUGCUAGGUGUUGGAGGGUUUCCGCCCUUCAGUGCCGCAGCUAACGCAUUAAGCAUUCCGCCUGGGGAGUACGACCGCAAGGUUGAAACUCAAAGGAAUUGACGGGGGCCCGCACAAGCGGUGGAGCAUGUGGUUUAAUUCGAAGCAACGCGAAGAACCUUACCAGGUCUUGACAUCUUUUGAUCACCUGAGAGAUCAGGUUUCCCCUUCGGGGGCAAAAUGACAGGUGGUGCAUGGUUGUCGUCAGCUCGUGUCGUGAGAUGUUGGGUUAAGUCCCGCAACGAGCGCAACCCUUAUGACUAGUUGCCAGCAUUUAGUUGGGCACUCUAGUAAGACUGCCGGUGACAAACCGGAGGAAGGUGGGGAUGACGUCAAAUCAUCAUGCCCCUUAUGACCUGGGCUACACACGUGCUACAAUGGAUGGUACAACGAGUUGCGAGACCGCGAGGUCAAGCUAAUCUCUUAAAGCCAUUCUCAGUUCGGACUGUAGGCUGCAACUCGCCUACACGAAGUCGGAAUCGCUAGUAAUCGCGGAUCAGCACGCCGCGGUGAAUACGUUCCCGGGCCUUGUACACACCGCCCGUCACACCAUGAGAGUUUGUAACACCCGAAGCCGGUGGCGUAACCCU
rnacentral:rRNA from 1 species